UAUUCAGGUUAAAAAAGAUGGACAGGAGCCUUGUGGGGCUCUGGAAGGGCUCCAGGGCAGAGUGAGGGGGAAGAUGCUAAGGGACUGUCACUGCAAAGAUAACAAAAUUAAGCAGUGAACUAAGAGGUAAGUUAUACCAUCAAUAUGCACAGUAAUAAAUGGCAAUGAAUCACUGGAGAUCUCUUGCUUUAAUGAUGCUGUUGUAAAAAUGAUGGCCCUGAGCUAUUUCAGACCACGUAUACUGAAUUUUGGCUGGUGCUUAUCAGUUUAUAUGCAGGACAAUUUAUAGCAUGCAACCUAAAUGAAAUGGUCCUUUGGACAAGAAGAAAUGGAUUGCAGGUGCAAACAAGCAUGAAAUGAAAAUCUACUAAUGAGUUUCCAUUAGCAGCUAAAUACAUAAUCGAAUAAUUUUAGGCAGCACAGAGCAAUGAGAAAAUCAAUUUAUUCAUCAUAAGUACUAUGGUAUAGAUUGAUAUGGAUUGAUGCUCUAGUACAUCUAAAAGUGGUUUCCUUAAGUGAGACCCGGGCUUUGGAUAAAGUUAAAGCUCAGCUAAUAGCAGCAGAACAUGAGUUUGCUUUUAUGGAAUUUGAAUGGAAACUAUUUUCUUGGGAAACCCUAAAUAACCUAAGCUAAAAGAGGCAUUAGUUAAUACGGAGUACUUCUGUCUGAAAGUAGAGACAAAAUAUUUCAGAAUGAUGGACUAGCACUGGCAAACCUGAGCUUACCUAGGAAUAUCAUUAAUGACAUUAGCAUCACUUUUUAUCUGGUUUGAAGCAAUUAUAUCCUCAAUUUCCUUCCUUUUUGCCUUAAGCAGCAUCUAACCUGACAUUUGUUUGCAUUGUGCUUUCGCUCCUUAUCUAACUGCGGUAAAUAUUUCUCCUUCAGCUAUGGAGGCCCUCAGUUCAAGGCUCUUGCAGCUCGUACAUUAACACAAUGUGUAACCAGGCAGCUGCCUGGGAAGUGCUCGUGAGGAGCCUUUCCACUAGGAUUCUGAAGACACUUUGGUCUUAUAGGGGUGCCAAUUCAGCGAGGCCAGAUUCUGUUCACCUUUAGUUCCAGCAAGGCAUUUGUCCCAUGGACCUCCACAGCUCCUGGAAGAAAUAAAGCUCUGCAAAGCAGAGCCUGGCUGGCCGUGACUCGCCUUCCCCGUCUGGCUCUUUUAUCAACUGAGAGGUAGGUGGGUUUCUGCAGCAUCCCCUGGGAGCCACAGCUCGGAGAGGUAAGAGCCCUCAGUGCUUUUCAGGUACUGAAACCAGGAGGAAUUUUAAAUGGGGUAGGCUUGGAGGCUGACAUUAUGUCAGUCAAUAAUUUAAGACUCAAUAGUUUAUGAAUCAAUGUAGGCAUAUUAUUUACCAAACCAGUAGUCAAGGGAAAUAAUAAUAAUAGAGAAAGAGAAAACCAAAAGUUUUAGGAUUGCUUUUCAAGACCUCAUUUUGAUGAGUCAGCUGUAUUAGGUUUUACAGACAGCAUCAGUGAUCGAUGUCAUGAGGAUCUUGGAUCAGAAGGGGUUAUGCAAUAGGGACAGGUUUCAGUGGGCAUUAGUUCUCAGUGGAGCUUAUACAUGGAAGCCACAUCUCACAGUAGGUGCAUCAGCUGAAAAUGGACUUGCUUGGACAUGUGAUACCAGACAAGCCUUCGGUAAAUGCAUGGCUGCGUAUAAAUCUCCUAUUUUGGCAUGGCAAAUAUAUCCCAUUGUAACAGAAACUUCAGCGACCUCUGAAUGGAAACGUGCCUCCGGGUUGCAGUCUGGGCGAGGAAGAGGCUGGAGCCCACGACACUGAUGGCCACGCGAAAAGCCUGGUGCUCAGCCAUCGGCUCUACCCAACGAGCAGCACCGCGAGCGGCUGCGUCGGGUUCAAUGGGCUGACAGCCUGCGUUCACACAGCACUUUGUGUUUGAUGGGAUCCCUAAAGGAUUUACGAAUUUGUCAAACUGAAAUCUCAUCCAUUCACCACUGAAGUCAGCUUCCUCGUGCCAGAAGCACGGAGCUCCGCGAGGCACCGGUAUAGAGCAGGGCGCGAUGAAUAAUAACGCGCUGUGGAAGCGCUGAGGGGGAGUUUGGGCAGGUGCAGUGCAGUGAUCUAAGCUGACAUGUGGUAAGAGUGUGGGAGUUUUUACAAACCAAUUUCUGAAAAAUACAACAUGGCAUCUCUCGUGUAUUCAGCAUUUCAGGUGUGGGUUUCUUCUGAAAGCAGAUCCUCUAGCUUUAGGCAGCUGUCAGAUCCAAGGGCUGUAAGACAGCAGGAAAAAUCUCUUUUCACCCCAAAAAAGAUGUAUAAGAAGUGAGUAACUUGUCUGUUUCUAAUACUAGAAAAGGUUAUUGCCUUUAUCCUUGAUUGUACCACUGCCACGGAGCACAGCUUCAUUAGGAAAUGCUGCUGGCUGCGGGAGCGUGGGGUCUCCGUGGGCGCUGGUUCUGCUGGGCUGCAGCCUGUCUUCCUCACCCUCCUUACCCUCUGCUUCCCCCAGCAGCCUCCUCUGCCUGCCCACAGAUCCCAACGAUGGAUAUAAAGGUCAUUUUCAAAUCCAUGAAGUAGAUUUUUUGAAAAGUAAUUUUCAAAUCCAUGCAGAAUGCCAUUCACCCAGGAUAUUUCCUUCUGAUUCACCCUGAGUUAGUGCAGAAUGAAUGCCUGAUAGGACCCCACAAGGAAGCACAUCUUUCUUCCUGGUCCUUCCCGGUGCUCAUUGCAGCACUGCUGGUUUUCACUGAUGGUUUUUUUUUGCUUGGUACCUUUGUGUUUGUAUUUCUGCAUGUCCCACAGGCAGCCCUCAUGGCUCAGGACUAUGCUGCGCUUGGUGUCUGUUGCUCAAGCAGGCUGCAAAAUGAAUUUCUCCCCAAAAGCUCACAAUCUAAGAUCAGGAAUGAUUCAUGGACUAAAAGAUGUUUUCCACGAAGUAAUGUUAUAUCUUAGUAAGGAGGAAACUGUAGAUGUGAAAAACUUCUCUGCUUUCCUGGGGAGCUGCCAGUUUUGUGGGCUUGCCCAUGUGUUGCCCCAAUCCUCCUGCAUACCACAGCACCAAACCUGCUCCGGGGUGGCCUCGCAGGGGAGAGCAGCCAUGCCUUCACAGCUUCCAGGGGGACCAAAAGCACCUGAGCAUCCUCCUCCCUGCUCUGAUGGGACCUUGCACCUGGAAAGCAUGGGGAGGAAAAUCCUGGAGUCACUGCAGGUCAGAUUUUAGAUAUUGCAUAAAAAGGAGACUUGGGCUGUGGACACAUGAGCACGUUGCCCUGAGGAUCCCGUAAAUCAACUGACCUGUGAGAGCCGCUUCUUAUCUGCAGCGAAAACCAGCCCAUGCAAGAAGGAAUUGGCUCUUUCCUUCUCUACGAAGAUGCAUGAUCAGACUUCCACGGCACAUCCUGCUUUGCUCAAAGGUCUGCGCUUAGCAGAAUACAAGAGGCUGAGAAAUGCUGAGAAAUGGCGCAUUACGUGUAAGGUGGUGCAUUCACGGAGAAUUACAGCUCUUCCAGAGAGAGCCCAAUUGCCUGGAUGCGCUAUGAAAAAAGCAGAGAUGUUCCUGUAAUGCCGGUGUUGGGCAGCAGGAUCGUGAAAGCAUUUCUGUAAUUACGCUUGCAAAGUACAGAUGUGGGCUUAGGGGAAGUGCUGAGGGCGUGCAGAGCUUUUCUCGCUGCAUCAGCAACUUGGACCCAGGUAGGUUUGUGGAGGCAGAAGGGCCUGGGUGGUUUGGGGACCGUGGCAGCAGCAUGAAGGCAGUCGAGCUGCCCCAACACGGCUGCUUUGCUGCAGCGUGAACAAGGGGCUGCGAGCCUGGCACUGCAGGGGCAAUUUUCAGGACAACUAUAGUUAAAUGAUUAUCAACAGGAACAAUGAUUCCGCUGAAUAAAAGUAAAUUAUGUUACAUUAAUUAUACAGAUUACUUAAAAGGCAAAAGUUACAGAACAAUAUACAUUAGGAGAUGUAUCUAUUUCCAAAGUCCUUACGACCAUACUUAAAUCUUUGGAGUUAUUACUCACCUUUAACAUAGUUCCCAUCAACUGCAGUGUAAGCCUUAGAGCUGACACUUCAAAUAAGUACAUGAUAUAGUUCAGCCCUAAAACCCUUAACAGAAAAUACAUCAGGACUUACUGUAAAAUUUCAUGGAGGAUUAGAGAAAAUAUUAAGUCAAUAGUUCUCUAGUUAUUAGGGGCUUUUAAGGUAAUCAAUACUUUCUAGCCAUAUUAGUGCCUGCGAAGAUAAAAGAUGACAUUAAUAUCCAACUCUUCUUUUGUUGCUCUACUUAUGUAUCUCCUGUAUAUCCUUUCUUUAGUCAGCCCUGCUAGAGUCAAUACCGAUACCAAGAAUGUGGUUAUUUUUAAAACGUGAUCAAUAUUGAUUUAUUUAUUACUGCCAGUUUCAAGAGGAACUUGAUUUCAGGUAAAAUUUUACUCUUCCAUAGAGAAGAACUGCCAGUCACCCUAAAACUUCGGAGUACCACCUGAUUUGGCUAUGGAGGCAUUCAUGUUUAGCAGUUUGCUAAUGCAGCAAAGAUGGUUUUAAGAAAAUGUUAAAUAGGAUUAAUUCCAAUAAUUCUUUAUAGUUAAAUGCUAUUUUAUGCCUUGCAAGCAUUACGCAGAUGUUAAUUAAAUUUAAUUGAUAUAAUUCAGUCCUAAGCCUAUUUGCACGCGGUUAAUAAUUGUUUUAUCAAUGACAUGUAUUCUUUCCUUUGGUUCUGUUUCAAAAAGUGGAGACAGCCGUCCUGUGUGCGGUCUUUGGGCUCUGUCUUCCUUCCUCAGGUAACUCAGGAAUACGACAACGUUUCAGAUCUUUUCCAACAACAGUGUUCUUGAGUGUCCUUGCUUUUGUUUCCCACCAGUCUGCUGGCUUUCUUCUGUAUU